AGCCUUGCUCAGUGGCAGUAUUAUAGCCCGUGAGGUUUAUCUGAGGCAUGGUUAUUGCUAGUUGAAAACAUUUCCCAAUACCCCACUAUGAUGACUUGAAAGAUAGCUGGCAUUGGUAAUUUUUGGCAGUAAAUACAGAGACUGAAAAUUA
ensembl:snRNA U4 U4 spliceosomal RNA